CCUCGCUCUCCAUCUCGCUAGUAUCUAGCUCUCAGGUGGGUAUCUUGUACCUCUAAUUCUACUGUCGGACACUUGUCCAUUUUUACCUCUCGUCUCACUUUUUCUUUUCUUCGAGGUUCCGAGCACUUGCCCCUUUUUAUUUUCUUGUUUUCAUUUUUUUUCAGAGCACUCACCCUCCUAGAAUAAUGUAGCAAGUGGUAGUAACCAAAAUAUCUCGAGCAUUUAUUUCACGGGGAAUAACAGGGAUAAGAUAAUAUUUUUGGCUAUUCUCUCCUGGAUAGGAGUAGAAUAAUUUUGGGUGAAUCUCGAGAUGGAAAUGAGUGGAUGAAUGUGGAUGCGUACUUCCGGAGUAGAAGCAACAUGUAUGAGUGAACGUGUAAGUAAAUCUUGAUUUUAACCGUAUGACAAGCUCCUAAGGGUCUACACAGCUUGACCACACUCAAUGCUCAUAAGUAGUAAAAAGUAAAUGUAUGGUUCAUAGUCUACUAAGCAUGUGUAUAUGGCUGUGGUAGGAUUUUAAACUCUCAUUGUUGAUGCAAAAGCUGAUCAGCAAACACAAAGGGCUAAUCCUCAAUUUAAACGUUAAGGCGUGCCAGCCGAUUUGACCUUACUAUCGACAAAGGUGAUAACUCGAAUUCUUUGGUCCCGAAAACAGCGAUGCGCC
rnacentral:lncRNA from 1 species